GAGAGGUAACGGCUCACCAAGGCAUCGACGGGUAGCUGGUCUGAGAGGAUGAUCAGCCACACUGGAACUGAGACACGGUCCAGACUCCUACGGGAGGCAGCAGUAGGGAAUCUUGCACAAUGGGCGAAAGCCUGAUGCAGCGACGCCGCGUGGGGGAUGAAGGCCUUCGGGUUGUAAACCCCUUUCAGUAGGGACGAAAAUGACGGUACCUACAGAAGAAGCUCCGGCCAACUACGUGCCAGCAGCCGCGGUGACACGUAGGCACCAAGCGUUGUCCGGAUUUAUUGGGCGUAAAGAGCUCGUAGGCGGUUCAGUUAGUCGGGUGUGAAAACUCUGGGCUCAACCCAGAGACGCCACCCGAUACUGCUGUGACUAGAGUACGGUAGGGGAGUGGGGAAUUCCUGGUGUAGCGGUGAAAUGCGCAGAUAUCAGGAGGAACACCAGUGGCGAAGGCGCCACUCUGGGCCGUAACUGACGCUGAGGAGCGAAAGCAUGGGGAGCAAACAGGAUUAGAUACCCUGGUAGUCCAUGCCGUAAACGUUGGGCACUAGGUGUGGGGAUUUAUCAACGAUCUCCGCGCCGUCGCUAACGCAUUAAGUG
rnacentral:rRNA from 1 species